rnacentral:misc_RNA from 1 species
UCAGGUUGGAGAAUCUCUUCUUCCACUUCUUAGUCCUUAUAACAUCUAAAGACGAUCUGGUUCUCUUACUAGGAGUAUUAGAUCACUCAUCUCGUCCCGGAGAUCUCUUCCAAAAGAAUAUGUCCAAGUCUCCAAAAUGGAUCAAUGUUCUCUCCAAAGCUCCACUGCUAAACAGUACGUCACCUUGGAGAUUCCUCCUCCAUUAAUUCCUAAAUGCAGAUGGGAAGGAUACUCUCACCUACAUUUUAGGGCAGUCAGACUCAUCAUUAGCCUCCACGGCAGAAGAGGAAUACCAGUUACUACUCGAGUCUCAUUAUUAAACACCUGCUUUUUACAGUAUGAACACGCUGUCAUAGGGACGUGUUUGACUAUCCUACAUGCUAGAAG